rnacentral:rRNA from 1 species
AUGAACGCUAGCGACAGGCUUAACACAUGCAAGUCGAGGGGCAGCGGGGGUAGCGAUACCCGCCGGCGACCGGCGCACGGGUGAGUAACGCGUAUGCAACUUGCCUAUCAGAGGGGGAUAACCCGGCGAAAGUCGGACUAAUACCGCAUAAAGCAGGGGCCCCGCAUGGGGAUAUUUGCUAAAGAUUCAUCGCUGAUAGAUAGGCAUGCGUUCCAUUAGGCAGUUGGCGGGGUAACGGCCCACCAAACCGACGAUGGAUAGGGGUUCUGAGAGGAAGGUCCCCCACAUUGGUACUGAGACACGGACCAAACUCCUACGGGAGGCAGCAGUGAGGAAUAUUGGUCAAUGGGCGCGAGCCUGAACCAGCCAAGUCGCGUGAGGGAUGAAGGUUCUAUGGAUCGUAAACCUCUUUUAUAAGGGAAUAAAGUGCGGGACGUGUCCUGUUUUGUAUGUACCUUAUGAAUAAGGAUCGGCUAACUCCGUGCCAGCAGCCGCGGUAAUACGGAGGAUCCGAGCGUUAUCCGGAUUUAUUGGGUUUAAAGGGUGCGUAGGCGGCCUUUUAAGUCAGCGGUGAAAGUCUGUGGCUCAACCAUAGAAUUGCCGUUGAAACUGGGGGGCUUGAGUAUGUUUGAGGCAGGCGGAAUGCGUGGUGUAGCGGUGAAAUGCUUAGAUAUCACGCAGAACCCCGAUUGCGAAGGCAGCCUGCCAAGCCAUGACUGACGCUGAUGCACGAAAGCGUGGGGAUCAAACAGGAUUAGAUACCCUGGUAGUCCACACCGUAAACGAUGGAUACUAGGUGUAGGAGAUAUUAAGUCUUCUGUGCCGUCGCAAACGCAGUAAGUAUCCCACCUUGGGAGUACGGCCGCAAGGUUGAAACUCAAAGGAAUUGACGGGGGCCCGCACAAGCAGUGGAGUAUGUGGUUUAAUUCGAAGCAACGCGAAGAACCUUACCAGGGCUUGACAUAUACAGGAAUAUGCUAGAGAUAGUAUAGCUCUUCGGAGCUUGUAUACAGGUGGUGCAUGGUUGUCGUCAGCUCGUGCCGUGAGGUGUCGGCUUAAGUGCCAUAACGAGCGCAACCCUUGCCACUAGUUACUAACAGGUUAGGCUGAGGACUCUGGUGGGACUGCCAGCGUAAGCUGCGAGGAAGGCGGGGAUGACGUCAAAUCAGCACGGCCCUUACAUCCGGGGCGACACACGUGUUACAAUGGCGUGGACAAAGGGAAGCCACCUGGCGACAGGGAGCGAAUCCCCAAACCACGUCUCAGUUCGGAUCGGAGUCUGCAACCCGACUCCGUGAAGCUGGAUUCGCUAGUAAUCGCGCAUCAGCCAUGGCGCGGUGAAUACGUUCCCGGGCCUUGUACACACCGCCCGUCAAGCCAUGGGAGCCGGGGGUACCUGAAGUCCGUAACCGAAAGGAUCGGCCUAGGGUAAAACUGGUGACUGGGGCU